UACGGAGGGGGCUAGCGUUGUUCGGAAUUACUGGGCGUAAAGCGCACGUAGGCGGCUUUGUAAGUUAGAGGUGAAAGCCCAGGGCUCAACCCUGGAAUUGCCUUUAAGACUGCAUCGCUAGAAUUGUGGAGAGGUAAGUGGAAUUCCGAGUGUAGAGGUGAAAUUCGUAGAUAUCAGGAGGAACACCGGUGGCGAAAGCGGCUUCCUGGCCCGACACUGACGCUCAUGUACGAAAGCGUGGGGAGCAAACAGG
rnacentral:rRNA from 1 species